GGGGCUGUAGCUCAUCGGCAGAGCGUGACAUUUGCAUUGUCGAGGUAGGGGGUUCGACACCCUCCAGCUCCA
rnacentral:tRNA from 1 species